GGUAACAGGAAAUCUAUACUGUUUUCCUUCUUGAUCUCCCAAUCACUGAGAAACUGGCCAGUUCUGGGAACUGCCUGUGUGGUUCUCUAUGGCUCUUAUUAGGAAGUUCAUGCUUCAGUCACAGGCUGUAAGGCUUAGCAAGAACUGGCCACAAGAUGAUCUUAAGCCAGGUCAUAGAGGGCGAGCAUAGAGUCAGCUCGGAACACCCGCCCUCAAGUCAACGCGUGCGGCUCCCGGCUUUCAGACAGGGCCAAUUUCAGAUUAGCCCAGCAAGUGAUUAUUAGGAGAAACAGGCCACUUACACGGAGGCCUCAGAGUGACAAAAACAACAAAUCUGGAAAACGGGGCUCAGGCACCAAGGAGAGACCUUGGUGGAGUGCUGGGCAGUUCAGUUCUCUGAACGUUCUUGGCAGAUAGAGGGGCCGGCGCCUUUCGGCCGCCACGGAGGGGAGAGUAAGAGGAAAUGCGACAGAGCAUGCGGUGCCAAAAAUGAUCACGGAAAGCUGCAGCAUCAACGCUGUGAACCGGAGCGUCGUGGGGCAGGGACGCAGAUGGAUCAGGCAGAUCCAGAGUGCGCUGCAGAGGCCUCAGACGUUUAAAAGCGUGCCGAUCAGGAACGGAGGUUUUUACCCACGUGCGUGUCAGCCGUGCAUUGCACCGUCCAGGGGUAGACACACAGGAGAGUUGCUCAGAGACCGUCUGGGCUCCUGAGCUGGAGUGCCCUGCCGAUAACAAGCCGCAAAGCAAAGCUGAAGCAGAGGCCUUCCUAAAGGGCUAAGUCUGAGUGACAGUGGCUGGGGAGAUGCCUUCACUGGAUAUGUUAACCGUUGGAAAUGGUCCCCACCUGCUCCUGUUCUGAGUGAUUUUCCCAGUAGGUGGCGCUACGUUGAGAUGCUAUGAAACUUUCAGAAGGCCACGAGAGGACACUCAACAGAAGGCAAGGAUUCUAAAGAGAACAGCAGGAGUGAACUUCUGACGGGGACUUCCAAGCGUCUAAGCAGCUUGUUAUUGGAAAGAAUCAUCUUCUGGUGAAUCGAACCACCGGAGCACCUAGCUCUGAAUUAUGGCAACCCCCCCCCAGGAUGGAUCAGGGUCAUCGUGGCAUAAAUAGCACACUGACACAUCAUACCAUGCUUUUUUUCUUCUCUCCUAUGUAUUUAUUUUGGUUUUUGGAGACAGGGUCUCUCUAAACUCACACUGUAGACCAGGCCGGUCUCAGAUUCACAGAGAUCCAUCUGCCUCUGCCUCUGCCUCCCGAAUGUGGGGAAUAAAGGUUGGUGCUACCACGCCAAUUUUUUUGUUUGUCUGUUUUAGGG